rnacentral:rRNA from 1 species
ACGGGAGGCAGCAGUGGGGGAUAUUGCGCAAUGGGGGAAACCCUGACGCAGCAACGCCGCGUGAAGGAUGAAGGCCUUCGGGUUGUAAACUUUUGUCGCAAGGGAAGAAAAAAAUGACGGUACCUUGUGAGAAAGCCACGGCUAACUACGUGCCAGCAGCCGCGGUAAUACGUAGGUGGCGAGCGUUGUCCGGAUUUACUGGGUGUAAAGGGCGCGUAGGCGGGUAAUCAAGUCAGAUGUGAAAUACCGAGGCUCAACUUCGGAGCUGCAUUUGAAACUGAUUAUCUUGAGUAUCGGAGAGGAAAGCGGAAUUCCUAGUGUAGCGGUGAAAUGCGUAGAUAUUAGGAGGAACACCAGUGGCGAAGGCGGCUUUCUGGACGACAACUGACGCUGAGGCGCGAAAGUGUGGGGAGCAAACAGGAUUAGAUACCCUGGUA